rnacentral:rRNA from 1 species
CUGGAGGUAUCAGAAGUGCGAAUGCUGACAUAAGUAACGAUAAAGCGGGUGAAAAGCCCGCUCGCCGGAAGACCAAGGGUUCCUGUCCAACGUUAAUCGGGGCAGGGUGAGUCGACCCCUAAGGCGAGGCCGAAAGGCGUAGUCGAUGGGAAACAGGUUAAUAUUCCUGUACUUGGUGUUACUGCGAAGGGGGGACGGAGAAGGCUAUGUUGGCCGGGCGACGGUUGUCCCGGUUUAAGCGUGUAGGCUGGUUUUCCAGGCAAAUCCGGAAAAUCAAGGCUGAGGCGUGAUGACGAGGCACUACGGUGCUGAAGCAACAAAUGCCCUGCUUCCAGGAAAAGCCUCUAAGCAUCAGGUAACAUCAAAUCGUACCCCAAACCGACACAGGUGGUCAGGUAGAGAAUACCAAGGCGCUUGAGAGAACUCGGGUGAAGGAACUAGGCAAAAUGGUGCCGUAACUUCGGGAGAAGGCACGCUGAUAUGUAGGUGAAGUCCCUCGCGGAUGGAGCUGAAAUCAGUCGAAGAUACCAGCUGGCUGCAACUGUUUAUUAAAAACACAGCACUGUGCAAACACGAAAGUGGACGUAUACGGUGUGACGCCUGCCCGGUGCCGGAAGGUUAAUUGAUGGGGUCAGCGCAAGCGAAGCUCUUGAUCGAAGCCCCGGUAAACGGCGGCCGUAACUAUAACGGUCCUAAGGUAGCGAAAUUCCUUGUCGGGUAAGUUCCGACCUGCACGAAUGGCGUAAUGAUGGCCAGGCUGUCUCCACCCGAGACUCAGUGAAAUUGAACUCGCUGUGAAGAUGCAGUGUACCCGCGGCAAGACGGAAAGACCCCGUGAACCUUUACUAUAGCUUGACACUGAACAUUGAGCCUUGAUGUGUAGGAUAGGUGGGAGGCUUUGAAGUGUGGACGCCAGUCUGCAUGGAGCCGACCUUGAAAUACCACCCUUUAAUGUUUGAUGUUCUAACGUUGACCCGUGAUCCGGGUUGCGGACAGUGUCUGGUGGGUAGUUUGACUGGGGCGGUCUCCUCCUAAAGAGUAACGGAGGAGCACGAAGGUUGGCUAAUCCUGGUCGGACAUCAGGAGGUUAGUGCAAUGGCAUAAGCCAGCUUGACUGCGAGCGUGACGGCGCGAGCAGGUGCGAAAGCAGGUCAUAGUGAUCCGGUGGUUCUGAAUGGAAGGGCCAUCGCUCAACGGAUAAAAGGUACUCCGGGGAUAACAGGCUGAUACCGCCCAAGAGUUCAUAUCGACGGCGGUGUUUGGCACCUCGAUGUCGGCUCAUCACAUCCUGGGGCUGAAGUAGGUCCCAAGGGUAUGGCUGUUCGCCAUUUAAAGUGGUACGCGAGCUGGGUUUAGAACGUCGUGAGACAGUUCGGUCCCUAUCUGCCGUGGGCGCUGGAGAACUGAGGGGGGCUGCUCCUAGUACGAGAGGACCGGAGUGGACGCAUCACUGGUGUUCGGG